GACGAACGCUGGCGGCGUGCCUAAUACAUGCAAGUCGAACGAAGCUGUUUUAACUGGUGCUUGCACCGACUUAAACAACUGAGUGGCGAACGGGUGAGUAACACGUGGGUAACCUGCCCCAAAGCGGGGGAUAACAUUUGGAAACAGAUGCUAAUAGCGCAUAAUCACAGAAACCACAUGGUCUCUGUGUCAAAGAUGGCUUCGGCUAUCACUUUGGGAUGGACCCGCGGCGUAUUGGCUAGUUGGUAAGGUAAUGGCUUACCAAGGCAAUGAUACGGAGCCGAACUGAGAGGUUGAUCGGCCACAUUGGGACUGAGACACGGCCAAACUCCUACGGGAGGCAGCAGUAGGGAAUCUUCCACAAUGGACGAAAGUCUGAUGGAGCAACGCCGCGUGAGUGAAGAAGGUUUUCGGAUCGUAAAACUCUGUUGUCAGAGAAGAACGUGUGCGAGAGUAACUGUUCGUGCAGUGACGGUAUCUGGCCAGAAAGCCACGGCUAACUACGUGCCAGCCGCCGCGGUAA
rnacentral:rRNA from 1 species